ACCGCCCCCUCAGCUUCUCUCUGCUCAGCCCACACUGCGACGCGCUGCUCGCGCACCCCGCAGCACUGACAGCGGCACGAGCCCCGCAGCCGCGAGUCCUUCCCUUGGCCGGCACCACUGAGGCGCGCCGGGGUGGGGGCGUCCGGAGCGGCUUCCCUCAACUCGACCCCGCCCGCCACUCCGGCCCUGGCCCCGCCACCCCCUGCCCCCCGCCUCUGUCUCCAGAGACGGGCCCAGCGACUCAAGCGCGAGGAGUCCGCAGCCCCGCCGUGACACAGCCCGGCCCCCGAGGCGCAGAGUUCUCCUGUCGAAAACUCUUACCUAAAUCAGUGUUCCAGCCUCCACGGAACAGCUGGAGGGGUCUUACCAGAGCACACGAGGAUGAACCUGCCUAAGAGACCGGAUUCCUGAGCACGAAGCAGAGUUUGAAAUGAAUCCUGCCUGGCUCAGCCAGACCAGCAGUUAUAGCUACACUUGUGUUGUUUGAUGACCUGUCACUGCUUCAAAAGGAAGAAAAAUCAAAUUAGAGAAAUGGUGACAACUGAGACCAAGGCCAGGAAUGUUCUUCCCCCACCUGUUCUAACGCCUCAGGUCUCUGCUUAAAUAUCACCUCCUCAGAAAGGCCUUCCCUGAACACCCAGCUUAAAGAUGUUCUCUAGUUUGACCUCUUGUUCAUUUCCUUCAUGGCAUUUCUUAGUCUUGCCAUUUACUGAUCUAUUUAUGUGUUUUUGCCCAUGUUCCUCACUAGAAGGUAAGUUCCAUGAGACCAGUAAUCUUUGACUGUUGUGUACGGCACUGUGUCACCAGAUUUAGUGUUCAAUAAAAACUUGACUGGAUGAAUGAGUCAGUCAACCAAUUAAUGAAUCUGGCACCGGGCU